rnacentral:rRNA from 1 species
UACAGAGGGGGCAAGCGUUGUUCGGAAUUACUGGGCGUAAAGGGCGCGUAGGCGGCCCGCUAAGUCGAACGUGAAAUCCCCGAGCUCAACUCGGGAACUGCGUCCGAUACUGGCGGGCUUGAAUCCGGGAGAGGGAUGCGGAAUUCCAGGUGUAGCGGUGAAAUGCGUAGAUAUCUGGAGGAAUACCGGUGGCGAAGGCGGCAUCCUGGACCGGCAUUGACGCUGAGGAGCGAAAGCCAGGGGAGCAAACGGGG